CUAAACGUUGCUUCGGCGGGAACAGACGGCCCCGUGAAACGGGCCGCCCCCGCCAGAGGACCCCUAACUCUGUUUCUAUAAUGUUUCUUCUGAGUAAAACAAGCAAAUAAAUUAAAACUUUCAACAACGGAUCUCUUGGCUCUGGCAUCGAUGAAGAACGCAGCGAAAUGCGAUAAGUAAUGUGAAUUGCAGAAUUCAGUGAAUCAUCGAAUCUUUGAACGCACAUUGCGCCCGCCAGUAUUCUGGCGGGCAUGCCUGUUCGAGCGUCAUUACAACCCUCAGGCCCCCGGGCCUGGCGUUGGGGAUCGGCGGAGCCCCCCGUGGGCACACGCCGUCCCCCAAAUACAGUGGCGGUCCCGCCGCAGCUUCCAUCGCGUAGUAGCUAACACCUCGCGACUGGAGAGCGGCGCGGCCACGCCGUAAAACACCCAACUCUUCUGAAGUUGACCUCGAAUCAGGUAGGAAUACCCGCUGAACUUAAGCAUAUCAAUA
rnacentral:rRNA from 1 species